CGUCUCUGCGCGCGGGGCAGUUCGUCCCCAUUCCCUAGUAGGCGCUUCAGGCUGGGAGCUGAGCGAGGGGCUUAAUGCCUGCCCCGGAGAAAGGAGUGGGUUAAAUGUCCUCGCACCCAUAACUAGCAGGCUCUUCUCCGAGGCUGGGCCCACUGCGGGCGUGAGACGGAGGAAGAGGCGAGGCCCAGGCGGAAAGGUCGAUGCUCAACCAGUGAGCCACACUGGCUGGGCUGAAUGACAUCUUGAUUGCAGCCUUCUGAGAGUCCCAGAGCCAGAACGACCAUCAACUAAGCUGAUCCUAUAUUCUACAGACACUAUAAGGAGAGCUUGCUAAUUCAAGUUGAAGCAUUAACCGUCCUCCUGAAAACACUCAAGCCAAUGAGGUAACAAAGGCCCAGAAGACAAAAAUUAAGCAAAGCAAGUUCUUGAAAACUCUUACAACCCCAAUUUAAGAAAAAUAAAGAAGCAGGAAAGAAAUUAGAAAAAGGCACAUGACAGCAUAUGAGCUUUGACCAAAAGAAUGCAGCCGAAGUGACACUGUGAGACUUCUGACCCAGGCCUCAGGAUGCUUUCUGGCUUCCCUGAGACUGUCAUGUGAAACAACCUCAUCUAGCCUCCUGGAGAUUAAGAGGGACAGAGGAGCAGGUGAACCAUCCCAUCUGAAGCCUCUUAAAUCAACCAGCUGACAGCUAGCUUCUGCCAUCUAUCAGCAGAGGUCAUCUUAAACCAUCUAGAUCCAGUCAAGCUGCCCAAUGAUUAUAGCCACUAAGUGACCCCAGGCAAGGCCAGCAGAAGAGUCACACAGAUGAAUCUAGGCCAUUGCUGACCCACAGAAUCAUGAGCAAAAAUAGUUGUUUUAAGCCACUAAAUUUUGGGGCAGUUUGUUAUGCAACAAAAUCUAACUUAUAUAGGAGGUUACCCCCAGGAAGUAUAGAAAUAGGGGGAGUAAAAAAGAAAGGAGAAAUGUUAAUAAAGGACGGUUUAAGGAGCAGGUCAAUAUUGUGGGCAAUUGAAGCUGGAUCCUCUCUAAGGAAUCUUGUAGAAGGCAUCUCAGAAUUGUCCCACCCAGGAAGAGAGAAGCUGGGUUAUUUAUCCAGUAACUCCCUUCCCAUUCCUCACUGUUGAUGGAGAAAUCCCCAAGACAGAGAAACAGAGGUUAGGAGGGCAGAACUGCCACCAAGCUGCAAGUAAGCUCAGAAGUAGGCCAAGGUACAGUGGGACAGCGCAUCAAUAGCCUCUGCUAACUCCCCACACCCAAAUCUCACCCAAUUUAGAAAGUGGCAACCCCAUCCUCCUGUUGCUCAAUCUAGAAACUUCAUCCUUGGACUCAUCAAUUUCUUUCACACUCCACACUAAAAUCCUUUUAUUGUUAUGUUAAAAAUAUAUCCAGAAUCUGGAUAUUUCUCACUAUCUCCUCCACUACAACUCUAGUCCAAGCCACCAUCAUCUUUCUCUUGGAUUAUUGCAAACACCUAUGGCACCCUAUGUAACAAGAGUGGCCAUUUAAAACACAAGUCCCUCUUCAGUUCUCAUCCCUCCCAGAGCUUCCCAUUACAUCUAUAUAAUAAAAGCCUAAGCGACUGUUAAGGUGGAAUGACAGAACGACUGGUCGCUAUGAUGCGCACUGACCACCAUGGUUUUCAGGAACAUAACUCAAUGCAGGAGCUGCCCCCUGGUGGUCAGUGUGCUCCCACAUGGGAAAGUUGGAGAGCAGUGGAACUAACAGCACAGCAAUAUGAAAUAUUGGUUCAGAGUCUCCUUGCAAGAGAAAGAAAAGCUGAGGCAGAAUACAGUUGCUCUCUACUCCUGUGAGAAUAAAACAAAUUUACAAAAUCUCAUUAUAACUAUGGGAGAAAGAGAAGUUCUAAAAAUUUCUUGACAAGCAAGGCAUAACAAAGAAAAUGAAUUGCAUGAUACUCAUUGUUAAAGAUGUAUAUAUUUGUCCAUAAUGCCAAUGAUAUACCUGUAUUUAGUGGGCUGUUUUAUAUUAGUGAACAUCUUUAAUAAAGUGUACUUUGGCUUU